AGGCUAUUUAACGUUUUUCAUCGAAGUAGCAAGAACUGUAUGCUAAUUCCAUUCACAGUUUAUAACUUUCAUCAUCCUUUAUUAUAAAAUUACUGUGGAAGAAGUUCACGUCCAUCUUCAAGAACUUGAUGAGAGUAUUACAGCACAGAAGCAAGUCAAUGAGGCUCUAGGCAACUGAGGAUCCGGCCGCACUCCACUAAACUGGGAAUCACACUCCGCCAUUGCCCUCGCCGCCGCCAAGGGCAUCGCAUUCACUCUGAGAAUGAAUUUUUUGACUCAAAAUUGGAGAUGGGCCAGUUAAAAUUUUUGUAAACUGUAAUUGCAUUUUUUGUAAAUUUGGAGAUGGGACAGUUAAUUUUUUGUAAACUGUAAUUGCAUUUUUUGUAAAUUUGGAGAUGGACUAUGAUAAUGGCGAUCA